AAUGGGCGCAAGCCUGAUCUAGCCAUGCCGCGUGAGUGAUGAAGGCCCUAGGGUCGUAAAGCUCUUUCGCCAGGGAUGAUAAUGACAGUACCUGGUAAAGAAACCCCGGCUAACUCCGUGCCAGCAGCCGCGGUAAUACGGAGGGGGUUAGCGUUGUUCGGAAUUACUGGGCGUAAAGCGCGCGUAGGCGGAUUAGAAAGUUGGGGGUGAAAUCCCAGGGCCCAACCCUGGAACUGCCUCCAAAACUACUAGUCUAGAGUUCGAGAGAGGUGAGUGGAACUCCGAGUGUAGAGGUGAAAUUCGUAGAUAUUCGGAAGAACACCAGUGGCGAAGGCGGCUCACUGGCUCGAUACUGACGCUGAGGUGCGAAAGUGUGGGGAGCAAACAGGAUU
rnacentral:rRNA from 1 species